rnacentral:rRNA from 1 species
UACGUAGGGGGCGAGCGUUGUCCGGAUUUAUUGGGCGUAAAGAGCGUGUAGGCGGUUUGGUAGGUCCGUUGUGAAAACUCGAGGCUCAACCUCGAGACGCCGGCGGAAACCAUCAGGCUAGAGUCCGGAAGAGGAGAGUGGAAUUCCUGGUGUAGCGGUGAAAUGCGCAGAUAUCGGGAGGAACACCAGUAGCGAAGGCGGCACUCUGGGCCGGUACUGACGCUGAGGAGCGAAAGCGUGGGGAGCGAACAGG